rnacentral:rRNA from 1 species
UACGUAGGGCGCAAGCGUUAUCCGGAAUUAUUGGGCGUAAAGAGCUCGUAGGCGGCUUGUUGCGUCGACUGUGAAAACCCGCGGCUUAACUGCGGGCUUGCAGUUGAUACGGGCAGGCUAGAGUUCGGUAGGGGGAGACUGGAAUUCCUGGUGUAGCGGUGAAAUGCGCAGAUAUCGAGAGGAACACCAGUGGCGAAGGCGAGUCCCUGGACACUUCCUGACACUGAGGCACGAAAGCUAGGGGAGCAAACAGG